CUGGGCUUUAAGAGGCCUUGUACAUUUCCCCCGGUGUCUUGUGUUCCUACCCCUUCCAUGAAAGUGAUAUGUUUGGACUAAGCCUUGGUUCCAGGUGGGAGAAGAAAGGUACUUGGUGCAGAGAGAAGCUGCAGCAGACAGUCUCGCUGUAUUGCCCAGGCUGGAGUGCAACGGCACAAUCUUGGCUCACCGCAACAUCCACCUCCCCGGGUGCGAGUGAUUCUCCUGCCUCAGCCUCCCUAGUAGCUGGGAUUACAAGCACUUGCCAAGAUUCUUGGCUAAUUUUUGAAUUUUAAUAGAGAAGGGGUUUUACCAUGUUGGCCAGGCUGAUCUUGAACUCCUGACCUCAGGUGAUCUGCCUGACACGGCCUCCCAAACUGCUGGGAUUACAGGUCUGAUCCACCAUGAUUUAACUCUUAAAUCCUAAGUAUAAAAUGAGUUUACAAGAAAUUCAUGUUUUUGUUUUUGGUUUUUCAGAUCUCAAAUAUAGUAUUCUUGUUAAAGUAAACUGCAAAUCAAGAAAGCAUCUACUUAGCAGAGAAUUGUCUCAAAAACGUUUACAUCCUGAUGAUCAAAAAUGAUUAGCUUUACUUCCCAGGUUUUAUAAAUCAGGUAAUAUCGAUUUCCAUAUUUAUUCAAUAGAGUUAAACUCGAUUGCUUGUAUUUAAGGUUGUGUGUGUGUGUGUGUGUGUGUGUGUAAAAUUCCACCCAAUAAACACUGCAUUUCUAGCUUAGAAAAUGUAAUAACCAGUUGUUUUCUUUCUCUCAGCUAAGACAACACAUUUCCAUUUAAUUAAAGUCUCAAACAUGGCCCAAGUUCACACUAGAAUUGCGAUGUUUGCUAACUAAAUAAAUGGAUUUGUUGGCAUCUAGCAUCACAAUAGUUUGUAGACUGACUUCUCUUUUGGCAGAAAACCCCUGGAAUUUCAAAACCUUAAUUCCUAUGUUUAAAUGCAAAAGUGCUAGCUAAAAUAAAGGGUCAAAAUGAGAUAGAUUAACCAUUUUAUUUCUCCUUCAUAUUUUAGUUAAAAACAUAUAACACACGUUUCCUGUUUUCAGCUGCAUUAUAGCUCCUUAAAUUUGAAAAUAACACAGAACUAUACAAAACCAAAGAUGGAGAUUUUAUAUUUUAUAAAAAUUAUCUCAAACCCAUAUUUUUAGUUUCCAAAGUUUUUAAUCUAUAUUCAUCAUAACAACUAUAAUAUUUGAA
rnacentral:lncRNA from 1 species